AUUGAACGCUGGCGGCAUGCCUUACACAUGCAAGUCGAACGGCAGCACGGGUGCUUGCACCUGGUGGCGAGUGGCGAACGGGUGAGUAAUACAUCGGAACGUACCUUAUCGUGGGGGAUAACGCAGCGAAAGUUGCGCUAAUACCGAAUACGCCCUGAGGGGGAAGGCGGGGGACCGUAAGGCCUCGCGCGAUUAGAGCGGCCGAUGUCUGAUUAGCUUGUUGGUGAGGUAAAGGCUCACCAAGGCGAUGAUCAGUAGCUGGUCUGAGAGGACGAUCAGCCACACUGGGACUGAGACACGGCCCAGACUCCUACGGGAGGCAGCAGUGGGGAAUUUUGGACAAUGGGGGCAACCCUGAUCCAGCAAUGCCGCGUGAGUGAAGAAGGCCUUCGGGUUGUAAAGCUCUUUUGUCAGGGAAGAAACAGCAGCUCUAACACAGUCUGCGAAUGACGGUACCUGAAGAAUAAGCACCGGCUAACUACGUGCCAGCCGCCGCCGUAA
rnacentral:rRNA from 1 species